UGCAAGAACUGGGGCAGAUUUAUGAGUUGUGUCCUGUUUGAAUGGAAAUAGACAUAAGACCUAGAAGCUCCGAUUCUAAGCUGAACAUGCACAGUGUCUUGUCUUGAUAAUACACAGAGGACUCAUGGACCCUGUGCCCUCUGGGAAGGGCUGGCUGGCUGGCUUGGGAACCAGUGGGAUUUGAGUAAUCAAGUUCCCUGGGAAGAAAAGAGAAGUGGGCGAGGUUGUGUACCUCAAAGAGGACCUGCAAUACACACUAUUGCAUCAACUAUUAUCUAAGGGUGAGUGAAGAAGGGACAUGGCCAGAUUUUACCUCAAGGAUAUCCUGAGCUGGAAGCUUAUGGUAUAGGGAGGGCAGCUAGCUUUGGAGUCUGAGGGGCGGGUGUGACCAGAAUCUAUCUCAGGCCUGUCAAUGCCUUGAGCCUCAGGAUUCCUCUUAAGGCCAGUGUGACUAAGGCUGCCUGGACCACUCGGAGCUGCUAUAGCAUCAGAACAAUGUAAUUGCCCGGCACAUUACAGAUGCACCAGGGCUGGUUGCCCAUCAUAUUUGCUCAGGGCAAGGGAGGCGGAGCAUCUCUUAGAGUAAGCCUUCGGGGAGAGGACCAACAACAAGUGGGAGAAAGCAUCUCCCCUUUCAGGGUCUUGUGCUUUCAGCGAUGGUGACGGAACCCUGGGCCUUGUGGAUGCCACACAGUGUUUUGCCAAUGUCCUCUCUCCAGUCUUGAUAUCCCAACAGCAUGAAAUCACCAAAGACGGCAGAAGAAUAGGUAGAGACACCUACUAAAGGAGUGGCAGACCCCUGGGAUGCCCACUUGAGUUUUUCCAGUGGUCUGACCUCAACGUCAGGAGCUGGAUUCAGUUCUGACGUGAUGUUGAGUCUGAAGAGCAGAACUCGCUCCUCACUAACAAACAGAACCUGCCCAUCAAGUGCCAAGAUGCUACGGCCCCAAAUUCUUCAUCAGGCCCAUUUUCUCUACCAAAUCCCUGCCCGUGUAAGCAUUUUCAGAACUGUGUGUCCUAUCCACCGUGCCCGCAUCCGGCCUGAGUAGAAAGCUUUGGAGUGUGAACCCAGGCUGAAGAAGGCAAAGGCUGUGAGCAUGCUACCUGCAUUGAGGCAGUCACACCAACAGCCAGACCAAAGGGAGCUCGGAACGUCUGCUACAAAGAGGUGCAGCAAACUAAGCUCCCAGGCUACAACGGAGAGACAAUGAGUAGUCCGGAGAGCUCCAGGGUGAACGAAUGCCUGAGGUAAAGACACUAAUGAAGGACAGGCAAGAUUAGUCUGAGCUGCUGGAGGGCAGCAACAGCCCUUCUCUCUAGAAGAAAGCUGACUUAACGGCUGGGCUCACACUAUUAAAACAAAGGAAGGGAUCUGUCUGAUUUUUGCCAAUGGGUGACAUUACAGUAGCCUCGUGGGUGUGACUGACAUAGAUUUAUUACUUUGUGUGGUGACUGAGUGAAUGGAGCUACAAUAAGUGAUUCACGCUGCAUUUGCUCCAGCUCAGCCUUACGCCUUCCAAGGCACGCGGGACAGACUGCUGUUCCCAGCCAGGAUCCGAAGCUGUCUGGUUGGACGCCUUUCCUUUUCAGUCAAGAAUGCACUGUCUGGAGAACUUGUGCCCCAGAAGAAUGGAGAUGUGGGGUUUGUGCACAGGGAAUACUUCCUAAAAGUUGUUGUUUUUUCAAGUGAAAUUUCAAGCUCUAACUUACAGAAUUGUUAUUGUCCUCUUUUGCAAUUUAGCAAGUGUUAGCAAUUCCCUUUGGGCGAUCUCUGCUUAACAGCUGGCUACAUUUCUUAAUUUUACCAAACUCCUCAAACAUUUUAAACUGUACUGACAUUUACUGUUUAAUUUCCUAACCUCCUCAGUUGCUUCAAUCAAUUCAAACAAACCCCAUUAUAAAAAGAAAUAAUUCUUAUAAAUACAACAAAUUAAAGUUCAAAAACAGUCGGCCUUAGGUUCUCAAAUGCUUACAUGUUGUUUAUGAAUAUAUUAAGUGUCAACUUCUAAUGUAGUGUGCAUAUGAUCAAAGCAUAUUAUAUAGACACAUGAAAAUGUCA